rnacentral:rRNA from 1 species
GAUGAACGCUGACGGAAUGCUUAACACAGAAUAACGGAUUGGGUGGCGGACGGGUGAGUAACGCGUACAGAACUUGCCUCACAGCUAGGGACAACAUUUGGAAACGAAUGCUAAUACCUAAUACUGUGAGAGAGCUUUGCGUCCCAUUAGCUAGUUGGAGAGGUAACGGCUCACCCAGGCGAUGAUAGGUAGCCGGCCUGAGAGCGUGAUCGACAACAAAGGGACUGAGAAACGGCCCUUACAACUACGGGAGGCAGCAGGGGGGAAUAUUGGACAAUGGACCAAAGUGUGAUCCAGAAAUUCUGUGUGCAUGAUGGAGUUUUCGGAAUGGAAAGUGAUAUCAGUUGGGAAGCGGUACCAACAGAAGAAGUGACGGCUAAAUACGUGACAGCAGCCGCGGUAAUAC